rnacentral:rRNA from 1 species
UAGGUGGGAGGCUUUGAAGUGUGGACGCCAGUCUGCAUGGAGCCGACCUUGAAAUACCACCCUUUAAUGUUUGAUGUUCUAACGUGGACCCGUGAUCCGGGUUGCGGACAGUGUCUGGUGGGUAGUUUGACUGGGGCGGUCUCCUCCUAAAGAGUAACGGAGGAGCACGAAGGUUGGCUAAUCCUGGUCGGACAUCAGGAGGUUAGUGCAAUGGCAUAAGCCAGCUUGACUGCGAGCGUGACGGCGCGAGCAGGUGCGAAAGCAGGUCAUAGUGAUCCGGUGGUUCUGAAUGGAAGGGCCAUCGCUCAACGGAUAAAAGGUACUCCGGGGAUAACAGGCUGAUACCGCCCAAGAGUUCAUAUCGACGGCGGUGUUUGGCACCUCGAUGUCGGCUCAUCACAUCCUGGGGCUGAAGUAGGUCCCAAGGGUAUGGCUGUUCGCCAUUUAAAGUGGUACGCGAGCUGGGUUUAGAACGUCGUGAGACAGUUCGGUCCCUAUCUGCCGUGGGCGCUGGAGAACUGAGGGGGGCUGCUCCUAGUACGAGAGGACCGGAGUGGACGCAUCACUGGUGUUCGGGUUGUCAUGCCAAUGGCACUGCCCGGUAGCUAAAUGCGGAAGAGAUAAGUGCUGAAAGCAUCUAAGCACGAAACUUGCCCCGAGAUGAGUUCUCCCUGACCCUUUAAGGGUCCUGAAGGAACGUUGAAGACGACGACGUUGAUAGGCCGGGUGUGUAAGCGCAGCGAUGCGUUGAGCUAACCGGUACUAAUGAACCGUGAGGCUUAACCUUACAACGCCGAAGGUGUUU